GAUGAACGCUGGCGGCGUGCCUAAUACAUGCAAGUCGAGCGAACAGACGAGGAGCUUGCUCCUCUGACGUUAGCGGCGGACGGGUGAGUAACACGUGGAUAACCUACCUAUAAGACUGGGAUAACUUCGGGAAACCGGAGCUAAUACCGGAUAAUAUAUUGAACCGCAUGGCUCAAUAGUGAAAGACGGUUUUGCUGUCACUUAUAGAUGGAUCCGCGCCGCAUUAGCUAGUUGGUAAGGUAACGGCUUACCAAGGCGACGAUGCGUAGCCGACCUGAGAGGGUGUUCGGCCACACUGGAACUGAGACACGGUCCAGACUCCUACGGGAGGCAGCAGUAGGGAAUCUUCCGCAAUGGGCGAAAGCCUGACGGAGCAACGCCGCGUGAGUGAUGAAGGUCUUCGGAUCGUAAAACUCUGUUAUUAGGGAAGAACAAAUGUGUAAGUAACUAUGCACGUCUUGACGGUACCUAAUCAGAAAGCCACGGCUAACUACGUG
rnacentral:rRNA from 1 species